GGUGAGCCUGCUGGGAGAUAUCAGACCAGACCAAACCAAGACUCCAGGGUGAGCAGCCUUGGGAGCUGCUGCUCUAUAAAGAAACCAGGAGAGAAGGCUGGUAGAUAGGAAGAGGCCCUGGGAGGGAGAAGCAGGGCAGAGUGAGGUUAUGGGGGGCAGGCAGCCCAACCCUUUAGGGGUUCCCUUCUCCCGCUACCUACUGGAAUAAAGCCAUGACCCCUGCCAUUAAGGGGAGACAUGAGAGGCUGACAAGCACCUAGGAGAGAUCGAGCAGAGUCUGGGAACAGAGCACAAGAGUCUUGGUGAACAGAAGUGUCCCUUAGAAGAAAAGGCAUGUGCCAGGAAAUGUCAGUUUGUCAAAAGUGAUACGUUGUGUGGAUUUCAACAACAUUUCAUUUUGGAAGAAGAAUUGAAAAAAAAUCAUUUUGUUAAGCCCCUUUUCAUCCCAAACUUGACCAAAGAGGAAUUGCGCCACCUGGGGUGAAAAGUGGGAACUGCGCUUGCAAGCUGUAGCCCAGAAUGGAAUGAAGGCUGCCUUAGCUAGCUGACGCUGCCAGCAGAGUUGUGUAUGGAUUUAGAGGUGCUGUUGAAUGUAGGGGGAUCUCCCACUUUACAUAUAGGGGCCAGUAAUAAAACUGGAGGUGGGUGAAUAAUGAUUGUGUAGUUCACUGGGAAUUCUGGAGAAAGGUUUUGCUUUGGGUUGAACCAAAAAGGAAACUUUGAAAUUUUUGGUGACUCAA